rnacentral:rRNA from 1 species
GACGAACGCUGGCGGCGUGCUUAACACAUGCAAGUCGAACGGAAAGGCCCUGCUUUUGUGGGGUGCUCGAGUGGCGAACGGGUGAGUAACGCGUGAGUAACCUGCCCUUGACUUUGGGAUAACUUCAGGAAACUGGGGCUAAUACCGGAUAGGAGCUCCUGCUGCAUGGUGGGGGUUGGAAAGUUUCGGCGGUUGGGGAUGGACUCGCGGCUUAUCAGCUUGUUGGUGGGGUAGUGGCUUACCAAGGCUUUAACGGGUAGCCGGCCUGAGAGGGUGACCGGCCACAUUGGGACUGAGAUACGGCCCAGACUCCUACGGGAGGCAGCAGUGGGGAAUAUUGCACAAUGGGCGGAAGCCUGAUGCAGCAACGCCGCGUGCGGGAUGACGGCCUUCGGGUUGUAAACCGCUUUCGCCUGUGACGAAGCGUGAGUGACGGUAAUGGGUAAAGAAGCACCGGCUAACUACGUG